rnacentral:tRNA from 1 species
GUUUUUAUAGUUUAAUAAUAAAACAUUAAUUUUGUAAAUUAAAAAUAAUUUUAAUAUUUAAAAACU